GGUCUCGUAGCGUAAUGGCUUAUCGCAUGGCUUUCCGGUGGCCAAGGUUCCAGGUUCGAGUCCUGGCGGGAUCG
rnacentral:tRNA from 1 species